rnacentral:rRNA from 1 species
GACGAACGCUGGCGGCGUGCCUAACACAUGCAAGUCGAGCGGAGUCGAUCGACGGAAGCCUUCGGGCGGAAGAUGGUUGACUUAGCGGCGGAUGGGUGAGUAACGCGUGGGCAACCUGCCUCGAAGACCGGGAUAACAGCCCGAAAGGGCUGCUAAUACCGGAUGUGGUCAAGGAUCCGCAUGGAUUUUUGAUUAAAGGGGAAACCCGUUUCGAGAUGGGCCCGCGUCCUAUCAGCUAGUUGGUGAGGUAAAAGCUCACCAAGGCGACGACGGGUAGCCGGCCUGAGAGGGUGACCGGCCACACUGGAACUGAGACACGGUCCAGACUCCUACGGGGGCAGCAGUGGGGAAUCUUCCACAAUGGGCGAAAGCCUGAUGGAGCGACGCCGCGUGAGCGAAGAAGGCCUUCGGGUUGUAAAGCUCUGUCUGGAGGGACGGAAGGAAGUGACGGUACCUCCGGAGGAAGCCACGGCUAACUACGUG